UGUUGUUUAUUUUUGCCCUGUAUUUAUCUGCAUGCUCUGUACACGGAGCAGGCAUCAACCACUGAGAGCUGGGAGCCCUUCACUGCGUCCUGGAUUUGUUUUCCUUCCUUGUUGGAGCGUGAUUCUUUGCAGGUGCUGUGUGCAUUUGAAGUAACUGUGAACUGAGCUGAGAAAACAGGUGUGUUAGAGAGUCCCCAAAUCCUUAGUUUAGUGAGGGCCUUCUUUCUCCAUCUCUCAGUUGUUUUUCUUCUUUUCUCUCUGUUAGCACGGCAUACCUGGCCCACCAGACAAUCCAGCAGGGAGUGGUACCUUCAUUGCCAUGCACAAGCAUUAUCACCUUCUGCAGUGGUCAGCAAAAGGGGCGUGUGUGUGGGGCGUGUGGCACAGAGGCAGGCUGGCAUGGGCAGUGCAGAGGCAGGCUAUUGGCAUGUUGCAAAACAAAAGCAGGUAGGGGCAUGCGACACUGUUGCAAUUUGUUGUGUGCAGUGCAAAAGCAGGUGAGAGCUUGCGAAGCUGUGGCAAGUGGGGGCAUGGACUCCACCUGCUGGUAUGAGAGAGCUAAAGAUGCCUUAGCUGUGCGAGAGCUUUGAGAGGUGGAUGGGGAGUUCUUGACCAAGGAAGAGCCCUGUGGUCCUUGCCCCUGGGGAGAGGGUGGGAUUGCUGAAGGGAGAGGGGAUUCUGUGAGUGAUCUGAGGGGUGUAGGAAGGGAACCGACAGGUUUAGGGUUCCUUUGCCAUGCUCUGCCCAGGCUGUGACAGUGCUGGGGUUGGUUUUUGAGUCACUCUGAAGACACAAUGAGACAAAGGUUAUUUUGCGCAGCCUGAAACCCUGCAAGUCUGCUCUGCCUCCAUGACUGCUGACCACGCUCUUCCCUUCUCCGCAAUGACCACGGCCAGCCCCAUGAAGACCCUGUACGUCACGUCCGAUGGCCGUCUGUCUGCGCUGCCCAUGGCUGUGAUGGAUGAGGCUACCUCAUGUCCCCUCCACCUGCCAGGCAUCCAAGCUUCCUCCUGCUCCACCAGCUCUCCCACUGGCUCCGACACAUUUGCCACCUCCCGUGUCGUGUGGUGGAAAUGCAUGGUGCUGGGGCAGGCCCAAACUCCCACCCUGACAGCAGGCACAUUUCCAAAAGCUCUGCUCACUUCCUCGUUCUGCUGGCUCGUGAGAAGAUCCUGUUGUCAGCUGUGCCAACCAGCACAGCAGAAUGUGAUUGUUAUGGGCAGCCUGGGAAACAGCAGGGGAAUAACCCUUUCCCCCUUUGGCUGUUAUUUGUUGAGAAAUGCUGUCUGGUGAGUGUUCAGUCAGGGCCUGAACCACUGAUGGAGCAUCUGGGGAAAGGACCCAGUCAGCCCUGGGAGCACAGGUGAGGGCAGUUCAGUUGUAUGAUGGAAUGAGGGGAGCCUGGCUGCACCUCUCCUAGACCUCACUGAAGGGCUGACUGUGCAGUGGGCGAGGAUAUGUGGUUGGAGAUCCCUCCCUUGUGGAGUUUUCCCUGUGAGCCUGGAUCUUCAGGGACAGACGUCCUCUGCCCCUUCCCACCUGUAAAGCAAACAAGGCGAUGACAGAGCCUUUAUUUGAGAUAGAGGAGCUAUAGAACAGGAUAUCAAAGCAAGAGGAAUCGACUCAUCCCUCCCAGCAACAGUUUGGCAGAAAGCGGAGGCAUUGUGCUUCCCAAGCAGUGCGUGGACCUUUCUGGUGGCAGUGAGCAGCAAGGAACCAACUGGGUCUCAGCUUCC